GUGAGCACAGUCUUUGUCAAACAUCAAAACUUUUCGAGAGUUCGAGAAUAAUGCCAAACGAUUUUCUCGAUACAUCGAAUUGGUCGGCAUAAGUAGCUUCCUGCUCGCUUGUAUCUCACACGAGGGAUGUUAAGAGGCAUUAUUUUAUUCUUCUUAUAAGACCUUUCCUAAAGAUAAAAGUGUCGAACCAUUAAAUCACAGAGGAAGGCUAUUAUCGUUAAUAUUGAGUAGUGAGUGGGACGUAAUAAGUUAGCGUAAUGGCAUUAAACCCUCAAUAUGAAGUUAUUGGGAAGGGUUUCGUGCAGCAGUAUUAUGCGCUGUUUGAUGACCCUACUCAAAGACCAAAUUUAAUAAAUAUGUAUAAUACCGAGUCAUCAUUCAUGACGUUUGAAGGUUUACAAAUACAGGGUGCUAUUAAAAUAAUGGAAAAAUUAACUAGUUUAACGUUUCAAAAAAUUAAUCGGAUAAUAACUGCUAUUGAUUCACAACCAAUGUUUGAUGGUGGCGUACUCAUUAAUGUCUUAGGAAGGUUGCAGGCUGAUGAAGAUCCACCACAUGCCUUCUCACAGAUUUUUGUGCUGAAGCCACUGGGGAAUUCAUUCUUUUGCCAACACGAUAUUUUCCGUCUUGGCAUUCAUGAUAGCGCGUGAAGGGAAGUGUCUGCAAGUUCACCAUGAUUAAUAGCAGACAAUGAUCUAAUCCAUGGACUCCCCAGAGAUUGAAAUAAUUCCAAAAUUGAAUGUACA
rnacentral:misc_RNA from 1 species